CAUGAUGAAGAGUUCAGAUGUUUCCUUCAGAGCAGGAAACUGGUGGGAAGACUUUGUUUCUACUCCACUGUUGAGGAUUGUUUAGUGUUUCUGAAUGAAACUCUGAUGGAGGAAACAUGAUCUGAGUG
rnacentral:snoRNA from 1 species